rnacentral:rRNA from 1 species
GAUGAACGCUGACAGAAUGCUUAACACAUGCAAGUCAACUUGAACUUCGGUUUGGGUGGCGGACGGGUGAGUAACGCGUAAAGAACUUGCCUCACAGAUAGGGACAACAUUUGGAAACGAAUGCUAAUACCUAAUAUUAUGAUUUUAGGGCAUCCUAGGAUUAUGAAAGCUACAUGCGCUGUGAGAGAGCUUUGCGUCCCAUUAGCUAGUUGGAGAGGUAACGGCUCACCAAGGCGAUGAUGGGUAGCCGGCCUGAGGGGGUGAUCGGCCACAAGGGGACUGAGACACGGCCCUUACUCCUACGGGAGGCAGCAGUGGGGAAUAUUGGACAAUGGACCAAGAGUCUGAUCCAGCAAUUCUGUGUGCACGAUGAAGUUUUUCGGAAUGUAAAGUGCUUUCAGUUGGGAAGAAAAAAAUGACGGUACCAACAGAAGAAGUGACGGCUAAAUACGUGCCAGCAGCCGCGGUAAUACGUAUGUCACAAGCGUUAUCCGGAUUUAUUGGGCGUAAAGCGCGUCUAGGUGGUUAUAUAAGUCUGAUGUGAAAAUGCAGGGCUCAACUCUGUAUUGCGUUGGAAACUGUGUAACUAGAGUACUGGAGAGGUAAGCGGAACUACAAGUGUAGAGGUGAAAUUCGUAGAUAUUUGUAGGAAUGCCGAUGGGGAAGCCAGCUUACUGGACAGAUACUGACGCUGAAGCGCGAAAGCGUGGGUAGCAAACAGG